AUGGACACGCUGUGUUUCACUCUCCUGCUGCUGACCAACCCUUUCUGGGUCCUGUCCCAGGUCACCCUGAAGGAGUCUGGUCCUGGGCUGGUGAAACCCACCCAGACGCUCACGCUGACCUGCACCUUCUCUGGGUUCUCACUGAGCACUUUUGAUACGGCCACUUCUGAUACGGGUGUGGGCUGGAUCCGCCAGCCCCCAGGGAAGGCACUGGAGUGGCUUGCAAACAUUUACGGGGAUAAUAAUAAAUACUACAGCCCAUCCCUGAAGAGCCGGCUCACGAUCUCCAAGGACACCUCCAAAAACCAGGUGGUCCUAACAAUGACCAACAUGGACCCUGCAGACACAGCCACAUAUUACUGUGCACGGAGAACACAGAGACACAGCCCGUGGUGA